UACAGAGGGUGCAAGCGUUAAUCGGAAUUACUGGGCGUAAAGCGAGCGUAGUCGGUUAUUUAAGUCGGGUGUGAAAGCCCCGGGCUCAACCUGGGAAUUGCAUUCGAUACUGGAUAGCUAGAGUUCGGCAGAGGGAAGCGGAAUUUCCGGUGUAGCGGUGAAAUGCGUAGAUAUCGGAAGGAACAUCAGUGGCGAAAGCGGCUUCCUGGACCGGAACUGACGAUCAGGCUCGAAAGCGUGGGGGAGCAAACAGG
rnacentral:rRNA from 1 species